rnacentral:rRNA from 1 species
UACAGAGGUCUCAAGCGUUGUUCGGAUUCAUUGGGCGUAAAGGGUGCGUAGGCGGCGCGGUAAGUCGGGUGUGAAAUCUUGGAGCUUAACUCCGAAACUGCAUUCGAUACUGCCGUGCUUGAGGACUGGAGAGGAGACUGGAAUUUACGGUGUAGCGGUGAAAUGCGUAGAUAUCAGGAGGAACACCAAUGGCGAAGGCAGCUCGCUGGGACGGUACUGACGCUGAGACGCGAAAGCGUGGGGAGCAAACAGG